ACAGGUGGCUUGAUGUCGUGCCAGUUGAUCUGAGCGUGUGUAUGGUCCAGGCUCUUGCUGUCAUGGCUGUGUAACAUUAUGACACAGGUUUUUAUAUAAAAGCUGCCUUGUAGAGGAAAGGAAAGUGAGCAGGGCCCAAAAACUCUGAAGAUUUGAGUGAAAAUAAGUGUCUUGAGUUGGACUGGUUAAACUCAGAUAUGGGGACAAUCCCGAUUGACAUCAGGAGACUUUUGGAUGACUGUGAGCUGUUUGUAUCGGAGCUCCUCGAAGAUGAAAACCUCAGUGAAAAAGUCCAAGAGACACGGAAAGUGUUACUGAAUAACUUCAGGGUUGUCCAUUCAAGAAACCCACAGGAGUUUCCCUACCCAUCCGACUACAGGGAAGAAGAAGGUUCUGAUGACAACCGCAGCUCCAGUCUGGGUCGUUCAGCCCAAUCCGAUGACGCCUCAGACUACCAGGAUGAUGGAGGCCUUGAAUACUUCGAGGAUAUUCCUCUUGUAGCAGCCCAGGACCUUAACAACAUCCUGAAGCAAGGCUAUUUAGAGAAGAAGCGCCGAGAUCACAGCUUCUUUGGCUCAGAGUGGCAGAAGCGAUGGUGCGUCCUGAACAACUCCAUAUUCUACUACUUCGGGAGUGACAAAGACAAACAGCAGAAGGGUUCCUUUUAUAUCAACGACUACAGUGUACAGCUGGUGACCAACCUGAGAAAGGAUUCCAAGAAAAGUGCCUGUUUUGAGCUUUCCGCACCUGGACGCCGAGUUUUCCAGUUCACAGCCAGCAACCCUCAAGAGGCCAGGGACUGGGUGGACCAAAUCAAUUUUGUACUUCGAGAUCUCAGCUCAAGUUUAAUCCCUUUUGACGAAGAUGAGGAAGAAGAAGAGGAGACCUAUGAUGACAUUGAGGGGGUGAACGGCCCUCCUCUGCCUUUACCUGGUGCUGUUCGUGCCCCUCUGAGUGGAAAACAAAGAGGACAGACAGAGUCGGCGGAGGACAAUGACGAGGAGGAGGACGAUAUCUAUGAAGAGCUGCCAGAAGAGGAUUUUCCAGAUCCAAUGGAUGAAAACGGUGAGAAGAGCAGCAAAUCAGCUUCGUCAGAUUACGCUAACUACUACCAGUGUUUGUGGAACUGCGACGCAGAUGAGCCCGACGAGCUGACCUUCAGGAGAGGAGAUCUCAUCUACAUCAUUAGCAAGGUGCAUGUAAGCGGCGUGACGAGGCGCCCGUCUCGCACGCCGCCGCGUUGGGCUGCUUCCAGCCAACCUCCGCUCACCUUCUCCGCGCUCCGGGCUCAGGUGUUGCCGUGGCAACCUGCUCCAGCGCCCGCCCCACCCUCGCACAUCCACCGCUCCCUCGGCGGAGGAGUCACCGGGAGGUCAGCGAGUCGACGCGCCGCAGCCGCCACGACACGGCGCUGUUCCGCCUCCGCUCCCUCGGUUUGAUGUGCGUCCAGGUUGUAACAAACACCUCUCACACACACUGUUAAGGACAUUAAAGCAAACACUUCCCAGAGCGCAGCCGCUCCGUGACACUUGAUUUUUCUCACCCCAGAGCAUCUUAAAGGGGUCUUCAGUUACAGGUGAACGCUCGUCCAAUCGCUCACGCUGCCGGAGAGCAGCGUCGGCCUGUUGUUUACCCCAGCGUUGGCGUUACACAGCCGCAGCUAAAACAAAUCAAGGUAAAACACAAAGAGAGGAAAACAAACAGAAGGAGGAGGACGAUGAGGAGUCGGUGUAGUUUUUGUCAUUUGGAUAAUUUACUCGCCGUGCCUCUUGGAAUGUCCCUAUUACAGCAGGUGUACUCUGGAUGAACCCAUUUCAAGUAUGAGGAAGAUGGACUCUGCAUGCCUGACAGACUUGCACCGCCAUUGGCACCCACUCUGUGAUGCAGCAGUUGUAUUAAAAUGGCGGCUCUGAUAAUCCAAAAGACCUUUCUCAGGGAGAAUUUGAGAGCGACUGCACAGAUGGGCCACGGAGAUAAAUAAAACUCUCUGUCACUACGGUUGGUGGAAUAGUGCUGCGACGCCCCCAAGGGAGAGAAAAACUGUUUCGCUCCCUCUCUCCGAUGCCUCCCCCCGUCCGUCUGUCUCCCCUCUCCUCCUUCUCUGCUCAUGUUCACUCGAAUGGGAACCAGCCCCUCUGCAGUUGGGCUUUUCCCCCUCAGUGUCCUAUGGGGAGCAUAAAAAAAGCAUUCGGACCUAACUUUCCCCUGCGCCAUGAGCCGAGCACGGUGGAGCAUCCUAGUCAGAGGGAACGCAUGAGGCCCGGAUGGACAGUCUCAGUGUGUGUGUACCUGUGUUGUGCCCUGAAAACGCUUGAGUGUUGUGGUUUAUCACUUUCUAAGCGAUCCAUCCCUCUCGCUGUCCAAACACUGCUCAUUAGCUGCAGGCCUCAUAACUCUUAGCUGGAGAGGUGUCAUGGCAGGAUGAACGGAGGAACCUUUGACGAAAUGGCAUUCAUCACGUCAGCGCGUGUGUUUGUGUGCGUUUAAAAUAAAAACCAUGAGUUGUUCCAGUCUGCAACAUGCAAGUCACCAAACUUUCAGGCACGAGUGCAUAUAUACAUAUAAAUAUGUUUGCAUAAUAGGAGCUGAGUGUUUAGUCUCGUCUUCUUCAGCGCAGAGACAAACGGUUCACGCAGCCAUUCUCAUUCUUCUGGAGAGAGAUGAGCGUCUGGGUUCUCGGCCUCAUCAGGACGAAGGAGACGGACGACCGGCUGGUGCCUCCUCUGCUGGGCUUUAACGUCCCUCUGGUCUCCGGCCAAAUAUUGAUCUAGUCAGAACCCAAGUGCUGUGAUCAAAUAAUCGUGUGGUAGUUGAUGAGUACAACUUUCACGGCUGGUGGGUUGGUGAGUUGAACGGCUCCGUGGGCAUCGUCCCCAAGGACUUCCUGCACCCUGCCUACAUCCUCUGAGCUCCAACAGAGCUGCUGACACAUGCUGCCAUGAAUUUGACAGGCAGCUUGGCCAGAUAACCAUUCACGGUUUGAAAAUUAUUCUCAUAAUAACUUUACAUUAUAUUGUAUAUAUUCACUGCAGUAGCAUUUAUUUCUGAAGCCAUCACGUUAAAUUUACAUACAAACUAGAGCUGACGCAGGAAAUCUAUUAUUCAUUAUUUGGAAGAAACUAUUUAUUUAUUUAGGAAAAAGUUACAUUAUUAUUUUGUUGCGGCUUCUUAACUGAGAAUUUCAAAAUGAACUUAAUCUAAUUAGAACAUUGUUACAUUUGUUUUACAUUUUUAAAGUACAGUAUAACGAGUCCAGUAGUUCUUAACAUUUACCAACACAAUUAGUGAGCUUUUAAGAAUGAAAUAGCUGCAGGUUGGCGCUGCAGAGAUGUUAAUAAUGGACUGGCAAAUAUCAAUUCACUGAUUAAAUACUUAUUGUAGAUCAAGACUUCUUUAUCAAGGAACUAAGGAUCAUGUUAUGUAACAUAUAUAAACUACAUCUAUCAUCUGCUGUGUAAAACAUACAUUCACAAAAUAAAUAAAAUAUUUUCAGGUAAGAAGUCAGCGUGUGGUUUUUGAAGCUUCCGAUGUCAGC